GGAAGAAACAAAAGAAGACAUCAAUUGAAGAUGAUUACGUGAAUGUUGAUGACACAUACACAGCUCUUAAUCUGAGGAGCAAGACCUCAGAUGAUGUGUAUGGAGAUCUAACAACUGAGAGCAGUCCUCCUUGUGCUAGGGCACAUGUGUAGAUCUUCAGAGCAAC